AUGCUUAGUAGCGGCGAGUGAGCGGCAAAGCUCAAAUUUGAAAUCUGGCGCCUUCGGUGUCCGAGUUGUAAUUUGAAGAUUGUAACCUUGGGGUUGGCUCUUGUCUAUGUUUCUUGGAACAGGACGUCACAGAGGGUGAGAAUCCCGUGCGAUGAGAUGCCCAAUUCUAUGUAAGGUGCUUUCGAAGAGUCGAGUUGUUUGGGAAUGCAGCUCUAAGUGGGUGGUAAAUUCCAUCUAAAGCUAAAUAUUGGCGAGAGACCGAUAGCGAACAAGUACAGUGAUGGAAAGAUGAAAAGAACUUUGAAAAGAGAGUGAAAAAGUACGUGAAAUUGUUGAAAGGGAAGGGUUUGAGAUCAGACUCGAUAUUUUGUGAGCCUUGCCUUCGUGGCGGGGUGACCCGCAGCUUAUCGGGCCAGCAUCGGUUUGGGCGGUAGGAUAAUGGCGUAGGAAUGUGACUUUACUUCGGUGAAGUGUUAUAGCCUGCGUUGAUGCUGCCUGCCUAGACCGAGGACUGCGAUUUUAUCAAGGAUGCUGGCAUAAUGAUCCCAAACCGCCCGUCUUGA
rnacentral:rRNA from 1 species